rnacentral:rRNA from 1 species
GAUGAACGCUGGCGGCGUGCCUAACACAUGCCAGUCGAGCGAUUCUCUUCGGAGAAGAGCGGCGGACGGGUGCGUAACGCGUGGGUAACCUGCCCUGUACACACGGAUAACAUACCGAAAGGUAUGCUAAUACGAGAUAAUAUGCUUUUAUCGCAUGGUAGAAGUAUCAAAGCUUUUGCGGUACAGGAUGGACCCGCGUCUGAUUAGCUAGUUGGUAAGGUAACGGCUUACCAAGGCGACGAUCAGUAGCCGACCUGAGAGGGUGAUCGGCCACAUUGGAACUGAGACACGGUCCAAACUCCUACGGGAGGCAGCAGUGGGGAAUAUUGCACAAUGGGCGAAAGCCUGAUGCAGCAACGCCGCGUGAGCGAUGAAGGCCUUCGGGUCGUAAAGUUCUGUCCUCAAGGAAGAUAAUGACGGUACUUGAGGAGGAAGCCCCGGCUAACUACGUG